rnacentral:tRNA from 1 species
GCCUGGGUGGCUCAGUCGGUUAAGCAUCCGACUUCGGCUCGGGUCAUGAUCUCGCUCUCGCGGUCCGUGGGUUCGAGCCCCACAUCGGGCU